CCCCCCCCCCUUCUCUCUGCAACUCCCCAAUUGCGCCCCUCCAUCUCUAUUCUCGUUCUCAACUCUGAACUUGGCCCCUCUCUCUCUCUGUAACUCCCCAAUCGCCUCCAUCUCUAUUCUCGUUCUCAACACUGAACUUGCCCCCUGUCUAUCUCUGCAACUCCCCAAUUGCCUCCAUCUCUAUUCUCUUUUCUCAACUCUGAACUUGCCCCCUCUCUCUCUCUGCAACUGCUAACUAGAAAAUCUACAAGAAUCAGAAGUUCAAAACCCAUAUAUUUCAGUUUAUCUAUCUGUCUGCAAGAAUCAAAAGUUCAAAACCUAUUACCUAAUCAAAACUUAUAUCUGAUAUGCCAGAUUGUUCAAAAAAUCAAAACCCAUAUCUUUCAGUUUCUAUCGCCCGCUGUUCCAGUUCGGGUUCGCCGUUCGCAAGCUUCAGCCGCUGUCUCUCAACUCUCAAGCUUGCCCCCCUCUCUCUUUCUGCAACUGCUAACUUGUAUGUAUGGGUUUUGUUUUAAUUUUUUUUGAUAUUUAUUAUUGUUUGUGCCUAUUGUGUUUUUCAGCGAGGAAGAAGCAAGGAUGAAAAUCUACUCUGUCUCAACUAGACACUAUUAUGCAUUUGGAGCCCUUGUAUCUGAAGAACUUUCAUACAAGAUCAAAGGUACUUCAUGUACUUGAUGCUUGGUUUCUGCUAUUGUUCAUUGAAAUUGGGAUUUCUAAGCAUUGGUGUUUGCGCAUUUACUGGUUGAUCCGCUGCAGAUACUGAUGGUUAGUGUUGCAGUUGCAUUGCGGGAGAUUGGUUACAAAGUUGUGGUUUACUCACUUGAAGAUGGUCCUGUGCAUGCUGUUUGGAGAAACAUUGGAGUUCCAGUCAAAAUCAUGGAACUGGUGGGAAGAUGGAGAUCAUUGUAGAUUGGCUAUCGUAUGAUUCUCAUCUAUGAUGGUAUACUCGUAAACUCUCUGGAAGCCAGUGGAAUUUGUCCUUGCCUCGUGCAGGAGCCUUUCAAGUCUGUACCUAUUAUUUGGACCAUCCAUGAAGCUCAUUCAUGUACAUGCACUUGCUACUCGUUUGACACAAUACCAAAACCAGCCUGGGUUUUCUAUACCAAAAGCCUUGUGUUGUGGCUCAAUGGAGGGCCUGGUUGUUCAUCUGUAGCGUAUGGAGGUGCUGAAGAGAUGGGACCUUUUCGCAUUCAAUCUGAUGGUAAAGACCCUUUACUUGAAUCCUUAUGCUUGGAACAAAUGUAUGUGAAUAAUUGUCCAAGGCACAUACAUAUUCUUCAAUUCCAAAGUAGUUUUCUUUAAA